rnacentral:tRNA from 1 species
AAUCCCGUCCGGGGGGUUUAAGGGAUGUCGGGCCUGCCAUAGGUGGGCCGGUAGCUCAGCCUGGUAUGAGCGCCGCCCUUGCAAGGCGGAGGCCCCGGGUUCAAAUCCCGGCCGGUCCACCACGAAGAGGUGCACAUCCCGAGCCCAGCUCGGGGUGGAAGGGCCUGAGACCCCGAACAGGGG